CGUUGUGGACAGACUUCCUGGGAUGGACUUUCUGCAGGAAUUCCCGGAAACCUGGGAUCUGCCCAGCCUUCAAAGCGAAUCCAAUGGUGCCUCCGACCACAUGGAAGUAUUCAGGCAUGGCGAUCAAGGAAGAGCUGGCCCAGGCCUCGCUGGCCAGCCAGAUCCUACCCGUGAUAUUUCGCCGGACGAUUUCCUUGAUGAGGGGUUCCAGGUCUGGGCCACUGGAGAAGACGACGAUGACUUUGGCUGUGGAAUUCUGUAUCACUUCCACCACUUGCUGGAUCUCUUCCUCAUCAGAGUACUGGGAGAUGAGUUCACUGAAGUCGAUGCAGAUGUCCCUCUCCUCAGCUUCCUCUCGGAACUUCUCGAUCCCUGGCCGACCAUAGUCAUCAUCAGCUGCAAUUGUGCCCACCCAGUUCCAGCGGAAGUACUCGAUGAUGUCAGCCAUGGCGGUGGCCUGGUGUUCAUCAUUGGGGAUGGUACGGAGGAAGGACUUGAACUGAUUUUUGUUGCUGAGGAGUCUGCUGGAAGAGGCAUAGCUGACCUGGAAAGAACACAGAAUGAGUGAGUGAUUGAGGUGCCAGGUGAGCCUCCAGACUGUGUGGAGGAGGCUUUUUGAACAUUCACUGAUCUAAUAUAUCAAAUGCUGGUCACUGCAGACAGGAUGAAGGCGUGAAGACAACCAGAAUCUAUUCCUCUCCAGUGUGAGCACUCAAGCAUCUGUCAGUCUAUCAAGGAGCAUUCUAAUUCCCAGCAGUAAAGGCAGAAGAACAGCCAUUUACUGAUGGAAUGGAGUGGAAAAUAAAUAACUGAACCCUUUGGAAUAAAAGACAAAGUUUUAUACAAGGUAUCAGGAAGACCAAGGGAAAGUGCUGGAUCCCUUCUGGAAGUUGCAAAUCUCAAGAGAAAGUGCUCUUCUCUCUCACAAGAUGGGUCAAGACUUGAGGUGCAGUAAUGGUCUCUGAUGUCCAGAUUAAGGCAGGUGAUAUACAGCCCUCUGUACUCUGCAGAAGUCAGAUACUAUUUGAAGUAAUUGUACCUAGUGUUAGACGCCAUAUUCUAAGAGUCAUGAUAAAUUAGGGAACAUCAGAGAGAGGGCAUCCAGAAUGGUGAGGGUCUGAAAAUCAUGUCAUGAAACAACUAUUUAGAAAACUAUUUGGUCUGGAAAAGAAAUGAUUCAAGGGGGCAUGUUAGCUGUCUUCAAAUGGCUGAAGACAGAGUCCAGUGAGAGAGUUAAGAUGGAUUCUGUGUUUCUCUAUCUAUGUAGAUGGAUUCUGUGUUAGCAGGGGGAUUUCAGCUUCCUAUAAGAAUUCUAAUGGGAGUGAUUCCAAAUGCUACGGGCUGCAUUUUGAAGACGCCCAGGUCAUGCCAGCCACUGAAGUUUCUUUCAGCUUUAAAAUCCUUAAAAAAAAUAAGAGUGAGGCAGCCAACACUCAGGUAUUAUGACCACUGGGGCACUUAAGGUCAUUGGGAGAUUUUACUACUCAGGUUUGCAAAACCUACAAUAAAUUUCUUUCUAGGUACUUGGUCUUCCAUUAAGUAACACAGCCUCCAGGUGAACAAUGAUGACUGAGUUACCAAGUGACCAAGCACGGCUCCAACAGGCCAUGGAUUUUUCUAUUCAGUAUCUUUGACAUUUUAUUUUUGGAAAAAUUUCUUUUAAAAAAAUGAGGGGGGGGGGGAAUAAUAAGCUUCAGCAUGGUUACCAGUCACCAUUUUUGAAAAGAGAGAACCAACUUUGAAAAAAUUAUUUCAGGUUUGGUACAGCUUUUCUCCAACCACCAGGAGAAAAGACUCUCCAGGGUGGCUCCUGACCUUACCUGAUACAUUCCACAGACUCCGGCCUCGACUUUAGAUCUUGAUCUUUGGCUGCUACUCCAAAAUGAAUAGGAAAGAGCCCCCCGAGGAUAAUGUCCCCUUUCUUCUGGGCUCGCUGGUCAGGCCCAUAGGCAGAAGUACACCAGGUAAAAGCCAAGAAGAUCCAACAGCAGCUAUAAAAUGCCAUAGUUCUGCUUUCUCUCCAGGGGGAGGGACAAGGGUGCUGGUGGUCUGGGGGCCCCUGAGAACUUUCCCCCUUGGUGUGACUUACUCCCUGCGGUGGAGGCACAUGUCUACAGAAUUAGUAACAGAAUGGAACCGUGGUGUUUGAAUUUCCACUUCUGCCCUCUCCAUCGCAGGCUAGUGAGGCGGGUGGUUCUUGAGUCUUCAGAAGCCACAUCAUGCAGAGACCGCGGGUAGUACUUUCUAAAAACAAAAGAGAAACAAAAUGAAUUCAACUAAGCCUAAAUCCCAUGUUGUUAUGAUGACUGAAACAGAAGUGGCUCAGAAUUUCCACUUAGAGAGGCUGAGGGGUAGCAGGUGGGGAGGGCAUGGCUUUGAGCCUCAUUUUUAUAGCACUUCACAUAAGAUACAGAACAUUUCAAUUGCCCAUAUCAGAGAAGGACCAUGUUCAUUUUAAAGAGGCCAUUGAUAAGCUGAGGCCUUCACUGAUGUUGCCACUGGAUUUUAAUCCCUUCAUUCUUCCGUGUGAAUAAUGCACAGAGUUGGCCUAGUGGUAGCAGUUCCUUGUAUUAUACUACUAGUAAUGCUAUUUUAUUCACCAUAUAUGUUUGUAUGGAAAAUACAGAAUGAGUCAUAGUUAAGUUUAAAUCUGACUCCAAAUCAAACAAAAAUGUCAGAGAAGGCCACUUAUUUUUAUUUAUUAUUGUACUCCCCCCACCCCACUUUCGGGGCCUCCUCAUCCCAGAUUUCUGGUUCCAUUUAUAAUAUGAUACUCCAUAAACCUUUGAAGAAUAGUUCUUGGAAAGGAUGCAGGUAAAUCAAGGGUUGGAUUAUGUUCUACCAAACUCUACAGCUGGAUCUAGGGAAUGGUCCUUCUGCUUCAGCAUCAUUAUCCUAGUAGGAACUCUCUGCUCUUCUCGCUCCACACACUAUCUCACCCACUCUGUGGGUCAAUUACUAAUUACCAGUUACAUGCAAAAGUUGACUAACUAUACAGCCUCUCCUGAGGUUCAGGCCCAAGCACUGAACUGUUGACUGGACAUCGCCACCUGGAUGUCCCACAGGUGCUUCCAACUUGACAGACUCUAAACUCACCUUCCUCCCAACCUUGUUCCUCCUUCACUGCCUUCUUCCUCAGCAAACGACAUGCCAUCCACAAAGACACAAAAUAAGGAAUCCUCCUUACCCCCUCCCUCUUCUCAUCAU